rnacentral:lncRNA from 1 species
CCCAGACAUUUUGCUCCCUGAAGCAAAAGAUAAGAUGGUACUUCUUCCAUUCUGUGCAGAAAAAUGAGAGCAGAGUCCUUCAGUCAUCAUGUUGCAAUCUCUAGCAGAGCGAACUAGCUUACUUACUCAGCAACACUGACAAGGGAGUAAGAUCCUCCAUGGUACCUGGGAGAAGAAAGUUGGAGAUGAGACAAUCUACGUCGUAUGUGGUUCAUAUGCCUCUGUUUUUUCCGAGAGACAGAGAAGGCCAGACGGCUCAGAAGCUGCCAGAGAAUAACCACUGCUGCUCCCUUCCACCUGCCACUUGGAACAGUUGCCUCACUCUUCCUAAUGGUAGGGCCAGCUAAAUAUUAACUGUGUGCUGAAUGAGUCCCAUCCUCCCAGGCCAUUUGUGAAAUGCACUUUUCAACUCUAGCAUCAGCUGCCUUGGUCUUGUUUGAAACAAAGCAUACUAGAAGAAGACAAUGUUGACAGCAUUUGAUUUUAUGAGAGUUGGUAGGCUGGGAAGUACUAAACUCCCUGGGGAUGAUAAAGAGAAGAGGCAGAGAAACGGAUGCUUUCAGAUCCUGGGACAUCAUCAAAACCAGUUUGGACGUAGACAGCAGCUGGGUGGAGCAAAGAACCGAGCAAAAGAGAUGACUCGUAGACAGCAGCUGGGUGGAGCAAAGAACUGAACAAAAGAGAUGAUGCACUUGUCGGAGUUGGGCUCGGUAGACGUCAGACAGAAAUAACACAGAGAGAACGAGGGAUAGGCGGGGUGAACUGCUGAAGUCGCUGAACUCUCGUGCUCUUUUUGACACCACCACCUCCUGCCCAAGGCUCCUCAAACAAAGAGAUCCUCUCUACAAGAAAUGAGGAACACUUUGAAGCUUCUCUUUGUGAUGAUCUUCCUCUGCUGGCAGAUGUUGUGUUUUGAAGGAGAGGCCGCUGGCAUUCCUACACUGGAAGAAGAGUCUUCCCAGCCAGAAGACCUGCCCUUGAAGAAUGAAGCCCCACCAAGGAGAGCCGUCCAACACUUUGCUGAUUUGAUGAAGAGGGUAAAACUCCACCAGUUCUAUGGCCUGAUGGGGAAACGAGCCAGAGAGCAUCAAGAGGGCAUGUUUACCUAGGACUCACAGAGUGAUGAAACCACAAAGGAGCAUGACAGAGAACUGGGCAAGCAGCCAGCUCCUUCACGCAUCAGUAUCUUAGAGGGAUUCAUCAUUCUAUACCACUUCUGCUGCUGCUUUACAGCCCCAGCGCAUCUUCUGCUGCCUGAUUCUUCCCGCCAGCUCUUCCCCACAAAGGACAAAUGCGUUGAGUGUUUUACAACCCCACUCCUUGUUUUCUGUUGUUAGGCACUUGCCUAAAAUAAAUGUGUUUGCCAAGCUACGGCCUAUAUGCUU